UACGGUCAUAUAGCGUUGAAACAUCGGUUCCCUUACGAUCAGCGAUGUUAAGCAACGCCGAGCCGGGUCAGUACCUCGAUGGUUGGCCGCUUGGAAAUACUAGGUGUUGUAAG